rnacentral:rRNA from 1 species
CCUACGUGAGGCAGCAGUGGGGAAUAUUGCACAAUGGGGGAAACCCUGAUGCAGCGACGCCGCGUGAGUGAAGAAGUAAUUCGUAAUGUAAAGCUCUAUCAGCAGGGAAGAAAAUGACGGUACCUGAGUAAGAAGCCCCGGCUAACUACGGGCCAGCAGCCGCGGUAACACGUAGGGGGCAAGCGUUAUCCGGAUUUACUGGAGGUAAAGGGAGAGUAGACGGAUGUGCAAGUCUGGAGUGAAAGGCGGGGGCUCAACCCCCGGACUGCUCUGGAAACUGUACGGCGGGAGUGCAGGAGAGGUAAGUGGAAUUCCUAGUGUAGCGGUGAAAUGCGUAGAUAUUAGGAGGAACACCAGUGGCGAAGGCGGCUUACUGGACUGUAACUGACGUUGAGGCUCGAAAGCGUGGGGAGCAAACAGGAUUAGAUACCCGGGUAGUC